rnacentral:rRNA from 1 species
GGUUAAGCGACUAAGCGUACACGGUGGAUGCCCUGGCAGUCAGAGGCGAUGAAGGACGUGCUAAUCUGCGAUAAGCGCCGGUAAGGUGAUAUGAACCGUUAUAACCGGCGAUUUCCGAAUGGGGAAACCCAGUGUGACUCGUCACACUAUCAUUAACUGAAUCCAUAGGUUAAUGAGGCGAACCGGGGGAACUGAAACAUCUAAGUACCCCGAGGAAAAGAAAUCAACCGAGAUUCCCCCAGUAGCGGCGAGCGAACGGGGAGGAGCCCAGAGCCUGAAUCAGCAUGUGUGUUAGUGGAAGCGUCUGGAAAGGCGCGCGAUACAGGGUGACAGCCCCGUACACAAAAGCGCAUGUGCUGUGAGCUCGAUGAGUAGGGCGGGACACGUGGUAUCCUGUCUGAAUAUGGGGGGACCAUCCUCCAAGGCUAAAUACUCCUGACUGACCGAUAGUGAACCAGUACCGUGAGGGAAAGGCGAAAAGAACCCCGGCGAGGGGAGUGAAAAAGAACCUGAAACCGUGUACGUACAAGCAGUGGGAGCACCCUUUUGGGUGUGACUGCGUACCUUUUGUAUAAUGGGUCAGCGACUUAUAUUCUGUAGCAAGGUUAACCGAAUAGGGGAGCCGGAGGGAAACCGAGUCUUAAUUGGGCGUUAAGUUGCAGGGUAUAGACCCGAAACCCGGUGAUCUAGCCAUGGGCAGGUUGAAGGUUGGGUAACACUAACUGGAGGACCGAACCGACUAAUGUUGAAAAAUUAGCGGAUGACCUGUGGCUGGGGGUGAAAGGCCAAUCAAACCGGGAGAUAGCUGGUUCUCCCCGAAAGCUAUUUAGGUAGCGCCUCGUGAAUUCAUCUCCGGGGGUAGAGCACUGUUUCGGCUAGGGGGCCAUCCCGGCUUACCAACCCGAUGCAAACUGCGAAUACCGGAGAAUGUUAUCACGGGAGACACACGGCGGGUGCUAACGUCCGUCGUGAAGAGGGAAACAACCCAGACCGCCAGCUAAGGUCCCAAAGUCAUGGUUAAGUGGGAAACGAUGUGGGAAGGCCCAGACAGCCAGGAUGUUGGCUUAGAAGCAGCCAUCAUUUAAAGAAAGCGUAAUAGCUCACUGGUCGAGUCGGCCUGCGCGGAAGAUGUAACGGGGCUAAACCAUGCACCGAAGCUGCGGCAGCGACGCUUAUGCGUUGUUGGGUAGGGGAGCGUUCUGUAAGCCUGUGAAGGUGUGUCGUGAGGCAUGCUGGAGGUAUCAGAAGUGCGAAUGCUGACAUAAGUAACGAUAAAGCGGGUGAAAAGCCCGCUCGCCGGAAGACCAAGGGUUCCUGUCCAACGUUAAUCGGGGCAGGGUGAGUCGACCCCUAAGGCGAGGCCGAAAGGCGUAGUCGAUGGGAAACGGGUUAAUAUUCCCGUACUUGGUGUUACUGCGAAGGGGGGACGGAGAAGGCUAUGUUGGCCGGGCGACGGUUGUCCCGGUUUAAGCGUGUAGGCUGGUUUUCCAGGCAAAUCCGGAAAAUCAAGGCUGAGGCGUGAUGACGAGGCACUACGGUGCUGAAGCAACAAAUGCCCUGCUUCCAGGAAAAGCCUCUAAGCAUCAGGUAACAUCAAAUCGUACCCCAAACCGACACAGGUGGUCAGGUAGAGAAUACCAAGGCGCUUGAGAGAACUCGGGUGAAGGAACUAGGCAAAAUGGUGCCGUAACUUCGGGAGAAGGCACGCUGACACGUAGGUGAAGUGAUUUACUCAUGGAGCUGAAGUCAGUCGAAGAUACCAGCUGGCUGCAACUGUUUAUUAAAAACACAGCACUGUGCAAACACGAAAGUGGACGUAUACGGUGUGACGCCUGCCCGGUGCCGGAAGGUUAAUUGAUGGGGUCAGCGCAAGCGAAGCUCCUGAUCGAAGCCCCGGUAAACGGCGGCCGUAACUAUAACGGUCCUAAGGUAGCGAAAUUCCUUGUCGGGUAAGUUCCGACCUGCACGAAUGGCGUAAUGAUGGCCAGGCUGUCUCCACCCGAGACUCAGUGAAAUUGAACUCGCUGUGAAGAUGCAGUGUACCCGCGGCAAGACGGAAAGACCCCGUGAACCUUUACUAUAGCUUGACACUGAACAUUGAGCCUUGAUGUGUAGGAUAGGUGGGAGGCUUUGAAGUGUGGACGCCAGUCUGCAUGGAGCCGACCUUGAAAUACCACCCUUUAAUGUUUGAUGUUCUAACGUGGACCCGUGAUCCGGGUUGCGGACAGUGUCUGGUGGGUAGUUUGACUGGGGCGGUCUCCUCCUAAAGAGUAACGGAGGAGCACGAAGGUUGGCUAAUCCUGGUCGGACAUCAGGAGGUUAGUGCAAUGGCAUAAGCCAGCUUGACUGCGAGCGUGACGGCGCGAGCAGGUGCGAAAGCAGGUCAUAGUGAUCCGGUGGUUCUGAAUGGAAGGGCCAUCGCUCAACGGAUAAAAGGUACUCCGGGGAUAACAGGCUGAUACCGCCCAAGAGUUCAUAUCGACGGCGGUGUUUGGCACCUCGAUGUCGGCUCAUCACAUCCUGGGGCUGAAGUAGGUCCCAAGGGUAUGGCUGUUCGCCAUUUAAAGUGGUACGCGAGCUGGGUUUAGAACGUCGUGAGACAGUUCGGUCCCUAUCUGCCGUGGGCGCUGGAGAACUGAGGGGGGCUGCUCCUAGUACGAGAGGACCGGAGUGGACGCAUCACUGGUGUUCGGGUUGUCAUGCCAAUGGCACUGCCCGGUAGCUAAAUGCGGAAGAGAUAAGUGCUGAAAGCAUCUAAGCACGAAACUUGCCCCGAGAUGAGUUCUCCCUGAGACUUAAAGUCUCCUGAAGGAACGUUGAAGACGACGACGUUGAUAGGCCGGGUGUGUAAGCGCAGCGAUGCGUUGAGCUAACCGGUACUAAUGAACCGUGAGGCUUAACCUU